GGGCCCGUAGCUCAGCGGUAGAGCACUCGACUUUUAAUCGAGUGGUCGAUGGUUCGAAUCCAUCCGGGCUCA
rnacentral:tRNA from 1 species